rnacentral:pre_miRNA from 1 species
ACCACCCGGGGAUCUUGUUAAAAUACAGAAUCUGAUUCAGUGAGCCUGAGAUUGGUCCAAAAUUCUGCUUUUCUAACAAGCUCCCAGGUGAUGCCCA